rfam:Nitrosococcus oceani ATCC 19707, complete genome.
GGGUCUGUAGCUCAGUUGGUUAGAGCGCACCCCUGAUAAGGGUGAGGUCGGUGGUUCAAAUCCACCCAGACCCA